UAUCUUAUUCUUGUACUCGUAAGUUAGCCACCAUACAAUGCUUAGUCGCUGCUGCAACCUCACCACUUGUCCUUUCCAUACCUUUUAAGCUCUGCUAGUCUUGAUACCCAUGGUAAUGGGAUUGAUGAGUCCUCAUGGCUCACAGAUUACUACAACAACAGUUGCAGGUACAUGUAAUGCGAUGAUCUGACGCGAGUGCGAUGCUUGCUUGGUUUUGGAGUUCUGCUUCUUCUUCGAUCAAGGGAUAGGUUCCGGGUCAGGAGAACCUGGGAUUAGCAGGGUGAAUGUCGUUCUUAUUUUUCGUUUGAUUUCAUCCAUAGUCGGAUCCUGCUCUUCUGUUUGGUGAUUGCUAUGUAUUGAUGAACUAUUGUAUUGAAUGUUGUAACUUGUGGUGAGUGUAAGCCUUUAUCUUGUAUUCUCUUCUAUUCAGUACAUGGUAUGUUGUAAUGAUAUCCACCUUGCUAUGCGCUUGAAAUGCGUUUGUGCCCCAAUCAUGAAUUCAUCACAUGAUUGGUAUAGAAUCACAUCUUGGGCGCUACAAGUUGGUAUCAGAGCCUUACCAACCUUAGGAUCCCCCUUGAUUGAUCGAAUCGCUGCCGUUGUUGAGUCUAGAACAAAACUGUUUUGAGUCUUGGGAUUAUAUAUAUCGGAGAGUAGGAUUCUUUUUACUCCUCAACCUCUUCGUCGCUCUGGUGAGGACUACUGAUGUAGAUGUUUUGACUUUCCUCUCCUCAUUUUCACUAUAAAAAAUUAGGAUCACACGAGUAUGUUGGGAUCGUUCUGAUAUUCUUGUGACGAGCAUUGUUCUUGGUGCCUCCUGACAUUUAGCGGUUAUGUGGCAGUGUCCCGAGGAGUUGAGCUCCGAGGUGUUGUCAUCACAAUUUUAUCGUUGCAGUUAUGGAAUACCUGAGUUCGCCGACAUCGAAAUCUCUUUUAUGCAGUUAGUGGUGAGAUAACCUCGACGUCACCCAGUACUGGGGAGGGAGUUCGGGAGUAUUGCCAUAGCUCGUAAAACAGAUGCUUUUCGAAGGUUGAGGUACACGAUUUUUGGAGAUUUCUUGGUUAUGUGUUGAUGGAUGGAUACAUUUGGAGCGUAGGGCUUGUUAGUUGUGUGAUAUAUAUUGUGCCUCCCUGUAUCCCCAAUACCAGAUUGCAUAACCAGAAAGUUUUGGGAGUUUUUAGGUGGGAAUUCAAGUAUCACAUAGGAUAUCUUUCCAACAGACACAUGAUACGAGAUGAGAUCUAUCAUAUGUUUGUUUCCGGCUUAUUCUGCAAGCCAAAUCUUUGUUUUGUUUUGAGUUGUGGUAUUCGAGUUGCUUCAAUGUCAAGUGUUGAUUAUAUACCUUUCCUAAGCGAUGUUCUCAUAUUCCUAUGUGAACACUAAUCCUUCUUAUUUAUCGAGAUUGUCAUCCCAAUUCUAUUUCCAACCAGUGCGCUUCGCUUCGAGAUGAUCCCAUCAUUUUCCCCAUCCGCAAGAUCAAUUCUAAGUUUUCUCAAUGGUGUUUGUUCCAUCCGUCCCAAGUUGCAUUUGUUUUCCCACCCUCCCACCCUAUUUCCUUGCAGAGUCAGACAUCUCAAUCAUGUAUCCGAUUAAUUCACGUGAAGCCUCUACAUUCUUUUCCUUCAAUAUUCUUAAUCAGUGAUUUCUCGUGAAGAUGCUCAGGACCUACAAGUUUUUUUCAUUCUUCGUUCUUGUUUCUUCUUCGGUGGGCUAAAUUCAAGCCUUGUUGAUCAUACCCCUUUCCUCGUUUCAAAUGCUUCCCCAUGCCGGUGCACCUCUUAAUCAUUCACCUCUGUCUAUUCGUAUCUGAAGUGCUAAAGAUAUCUCGGAAGAUUCGUGUUUCCAUUCUUAAUCCGUUCAAGCUAUUUGGAGAUUACUAUCUCAUUCAAGUCAUUUAAUUUAACCGGUGCAAUCUCUCUUCAAAAUCAUUUCAACGGUGUUUAUCUUUGAGUGGGCCCUAACCCACAUGUCUUUCCCAGGAUCUUACCUGACUCUUCUAAUUCUUUUCGAAGUCAUUCUCAAAUUCUUUUCAAAGUUUGACGUAAGAAUGAAUUUUCAUCAGUCAGAUGCCCUCUCCAGGACCGCUUUCAAAUGCUUUUCCUUGUUGGCUCAAUCUUUCUAAUCUUCAUUAUUCGGAGUGCCUCAACAAAUCAUGGUGGUGUUUCUCGUCGUCAUUCUCAGGUUUUGAAGACCGAAGAAGAUUUUUUUUCUAAAUCUUGGUCCGUUCUCUUAAAGAUGUGUAGCCCAAGCUUGAUGCCAUCCUCUCAAAUUGUUUCGGUGCAUCGUUCAAGUAUUCUCUAGUCAGCUCAUGAUCUAUUUGUGCUCAUGUAUCUAAAUUCCGUGAAGUAUCUUUAUUCGUUUUCCAAUUCUUCCCAGUGAAUUGUGCCUUUGCUACUUUCAUUUUCAAUUCUUACGGUGGUUCGUUCAAGAUUCCUUUCCUCUUGUUAUCAUAUCAAUUCAUUUGUUCUUUUCAAGUCCUACCGGUGGUUCGUUCAAGACCUUACCAAGUUUACGCUAUAUCUCUCCUUAAUCCUUUCCAAUGAGAAUGAGUACUAUGCUAAAUCCAUUGUGGGUCAUCAAUCUAAUUGAUGAAGGAUAAGCAUAAUGUAAUUAUUAUUCUUGUUUCAUCGAGUAAAUUCAAUUCCUCAUUCUGGAGGUUCAUCAAAAUUCUCGGUUUCAAUUGUUCAUCUUUCUUUUCCGGAGUUCCAUGUUUUCUCGGUUAUAUGGUCACGAAGCUCCAGCUAAAUCAUUGCAAGACUUCAAUCUUAUUCUUUCAAACCUUCAUGUCUUUUCUACCCUCUUUUCAUUGCCUGGGUUCUUCAUGGAGGCUCUUCAUGGUGGUUCAUCAAGGAUUUAAUUCAUUCUCAAAGUGUUCUUCAAGAUUCUUCUUGGAGGAGCUCAAGUAUUCGUCAUCUUGCAUUGUGAAGUGCAAUUAUUUCUACAUUAUCUUUUGAGGUGGUCUUAUGUCAUUCUUGACAAUUUCCCUUCAUGUUUCAUGAUUCGCAAGUUGUCAUGGAUGAGAUAUGUAAACCCAUCAUUUUCUCUUCGUUCAGGAGAUCCUUUGCAACCCGUCAACCUCUUCAUUGGAGUUAUCCUGGGUAAUAUUUCACCUAAAGCCUUCCCUAAGGAUUGUUGCUAUUUAUGGUGCUCAUAAAUGACCCAAGUUCUUCACUUAUCCCCUCGGUGAAAUAAGUUUUUCGUCUCCUUGUUGAUAUCAAUCCAAUCAAUUGUUUCCGUUAGCAGCUGAUUGUCACCUCACAAUUUUGAGAUGUUUUCAUAAGUCCACAAGGAGUAUAUCAUUUGAUUGUUGAUUCUUAAACAACUCUGUUCAACCCUUCUUCGUAAGGAUGCUCUUUCAAUUUUAAUUGGGAGAUUUGUCAUUCUGCUUCUCCGUUCUUUUCUUUCCAACCAUCUAGUUUUCCAUUCAUUUGUUCCGGAGGCAUUGUGAUGUUGCUCUCUUCACCCAUCACCUCGUUUUGUCAAUAUCAUGUUCUUUUCCUUGCUUAUCCGUUUAGCAGGAGUGUUGUGUCCUCUGCUCAAGUUCUUUUCAUCUUAUCAAAGUCUUGCAUCUCUUUUCAACCGGAGUGUUGUUCGAAUUUGUUCUUCCUUGUUCCUUGGUUAUCUCGUUUCAACCAGAGUGGUUUCAAUCCUUUCUUGUCCAUUGUGCUCGUCAUUCAUAGCUUUGCAACCUCCAAGGUUCACAUGGUGUUCCUUGUUUCUCUUUCUACCGCAGUGCUCUCAACUUCAUUCAACUCUGUUGCGUUCUUUCUUUCAAGUUUUCUACCUCUCAAGGUUUGUUGGUUUCACUUGGUUGUCAAAGAAGCAACUUUGUUUUACCUCUUCCUCUUUCGUUUUUCUCCGGUGCCAUCCUUAGAUCUCGGGUCGAGAUCUCUUGUAAGUGGAGGAGAGUUGUAAUGCCCUCCAGAAGCCUUCCAGUUAUUUCGUUGUUGUUGUGUGUUUACUUGUUUGUUGCAUUUCAUCAUUGCAUCAUCUACAUUGCAUCGGCACUCCGUUGCCGUCAUUGUUUUCAAACUUGCAUCCCCUCAUAGUUGCCGCGUCCCCCCUUGCUUUCGUUGACCGUUUCGAGACCAACCUUGUUCUUCGUUUUCCCUCUUGCCUAAACCGGAGUCUCUUUGCACAGUGCAUCGACCCCUCACCCGUGUCCGAAACUUCCCCGAACCUGAACCCGACUAUCAUUACCGUCGGGUCCGGAUCAUCCCCAAACAUCUAUAAAACAUCUCCGUUUUUUUCAUUGGACUCCCCAACCUAGUUAUCUCGACCGUCCGAUCUAAAUCGAAGGGUCCUUUUAGCCCCUAGUCAAGGCACCCUACCUAUUUAUACAGUCAAACCCUAGCCUAUCCUGUCCAAUCCACCAAUCCUCCUCGCCACCGCCACUCCUCUUCCUCGGGAUCCAACCCGCAUCCACUCUCUCCGUCCCUCGUUUUCAGCACCAGGCCAACCAGCACCCCCCCUUCGACCCACCUCGCUCGAUUCCCCCCGCUCGCGCCGAUCGAGCCCCUAUCUAGGAGCUCCCACACCAACCCAGCACCGGCCUCCCGUGCUCGACCUCAUCCCCAACCUCGCAAGCCUCCUCGAUCCUCUCCUGAGCAGGUGCUCUCCCAGAGCCCCGCGUCCCCGCCUCCGUUCGGCCAGCCACGUCGUCGGCGCACCCAGCAGAUGAGAGCCGUCCCUACUGCUUUUCCUUCUUCCCCUGCUCCUCCCGCCUCCGCUAACCUCUCUCUCCCUCGUUUUUCCUUUCACCGAGCAGGAGCGCCAUGGAUGGCCGCCCGUGGAUGUCCCCUCCUGCUGUUUUCCCUUCGUCGCCGGAGCUCCCGCAAGCAGACCCGCCGUCUCUAGGCCAUCCCCGUCCUCUGCAUCGCCAUGGACGCCCACCCGGAGCUCCACGCCCCGCCUUCCCCCACCUCGCUCGUGACCUCCGCUACACCGAAUCCGGCAGGAUUCCAUCGCAGCGCCAAGUCCCUUGCCUCGCUGCUUCUUUGCCCCUUGUCACUGGAGACCCCGCACAAGUCCCUGCUACCGGAGCCUUGCCAAGUCCCGCGCCAAGUCAGCACGGCGCCGUCGCCUGCUUCUGUCAUGCAAGCACGCAAGGACGAGGCCAGCGCCAAGUCCCACUCCUUCCCCCUGCCUCGACCGCGUUGACCUCGGUCCUCGUUUCGAUCUGGAGGCAGCAGUCAACUGCGUCGCUAGCCACCGCCAGCGCCAAGGCCCAGCUCGCCUCGCCUCGCCUCAGUCUAUCUCCACGCGCAGCUCAAACCGGCCCAAGCCACAUCCGCAGCCCAUCCCCACCGACCGGCCUCGCUGGGCCGCAAGGUGAGAUCCACCUCCAUCUAUUGUUGGGCUUUGGCCCAAUAGCGCUAGUGUUGUUUAGUGCUCAGUGCGCUUGUUGUUAUUCUGCACCCAUGCUUAUUGGGCCAGCCUACCAGAUUCGGCCCGCAUGUUUUUUUCUUGUUCUGCGAAUUAUCUAUUAUCCGGAGAAUUACAGUUUUACAAAAAAAACCUCAUGCUUCAUGCAUUUAAUAACUCUUGAACCGUGCAUCGGAUUAAAAUGUUUUAUAUAUGUAAAAUGCUUAGAAUUUCAUCUAGUUUCAUAAUAUGCCACUUUCAUCUAUGUUUAAAAUGUUGUUUGUUUAAAUUUUCUUAGAUGCCAUGUUAAAAUGAUUUAUUUAAUAACUAAAUCACCGUAGCUCCGAAUUAAAUAAACUUUAUAUGUAAAUGGGGUGGAAUAAUGCAUAGUUUAACAUGAUGCACUUACUUUUGCUAUUUAACAACUCUAAAAUAUGGUUUAGGGCAGAACAGUACCAACUUUGAAAUAUGCACAUGGGGAUUUUUCGGACUUGUUGUUUGUUGUUCUGGCCUCAUUUAAACUUGCCUAGAUAGGCAGUUUUAUUAUGCUUCACCCCUUUCCAUGUUUAAUAACAUUUAAUAUUGUUGGGUACAUAACCGAGAGAGAACUAAAUAAGUCAUGUGGUAUUUCGUUAAUAUGCAACUCGUUGCAUAUUGAACUCCACUUAACUUGUAGUAUUGUUUGUGGCACUUUGUCAUGCCACGAGUCAUUAAACCAGACAUGCAUCAUACUUGAUUGUGAUCAUGCCAUGACUAUGCUUGUUGGUUUACCAUGUUGUUUGUUUCUUUCCGGUGUUUCUUCUUCUUGAUAGUUUCGAUAAUGUUGCGAUUGUGAGGAUUCGUUCGACUACGUCCGUUCGUCUUCUUCAUGGACUCAUUCUUCUUCCUAGCGGGAUUUCAGGCAAGAUGACCGUCACCUUGGAUCUCACUACUAUCUUUGCUAUGCUAGUUGUCUCGAUGCUAUUGCUAUGUCGCACUACCUACCACUUGUUUACCAAGCUUCCCAAAUUGCCAUGAUAGCCUCUAACCAUUUUCACCCUUCCUAGCAAACCGUUGUUUGGCUAUGUUACCGCUUUGCUCAGCCCCUCUUAUAGCGUUGCUAGUUGCAGGUGCAGUUUGUUCCAUGUUGGGUCAUGGAUUUCAUGGAUAUCUUGGGAUAUCACAAUAUCUCUUAUUUAAUUAAUGCAUCUAUAUACUUGGUAAAGGGUGGAAGGCUCGUCCUUAUGCCUGGUGUUUUAUUCCACUCUUGCCGCCCUAGUUUCCGUCGUACCGGUGUCAUGUUCCUUGAUUUUAUGUCCCUAACACGAUGAGGGGUAUGGGACCCUCUUGACAGUUUGCUUUGAAUUAAACUCUUCCAGCAAGGCCCAACAUUGGUUUUACCAUUUGCCUAAUAACAACAAAACUUCCAUUGGGACUUGCCGGCCCCCGUGGAUUUUUAAUCAACCCCCGGGCCAGUGCUCGUCUGAGUGUUGGUCCAAACCGGACGAUGUCCGGCUCCCCCUGGGCGACUAGGGUCUCAGCCAACCCGACGUCUGGCCCAUCCGGUGUGCCCUGAGAACGAGGUACGUGCGGCUCCUAUAGGGAUUUGUCGGCACAUCGGGAGUCUUGCUGGUUUUGUUUUACCAUUGUCUAAAUGUCUUGUGCACCGGGAUUCCGAGUCUGGUCGGGUGUCCCGCGAUGGAGAAUUGUCUCCGCGGAUCGUGAGCUUGUCAUGGGCUAAGUUGGGACACCCCUGCAGGGUUUAAACUUCCGAGAGCCGUGCCCGCGAUUAUGUGGCAGAUGGGAAUUUGUUAAUAUCCGGUUGUAGUGAACUUGAAGUAAACUCAAUUAAAAUACACCAACCGCAUUGCAUAACCGUGACUGUCUCCUUUCGGGGAAGUUCGAGAGGAGAACACGGUUGGGUUAUGUUUGAAUGUAACUAGUUCAGGAUCACUUCUUGAUCAUUACUAGUUUGCGACCGUUGCGUAUAUUCUUAUCUUAUUCUUGUACUCAUAAGUUAGCCACCAUACAAUGCUUAGUCGCUUCUGCAACCUCGCCACUUAUCCUUUCCAAACCCUUUAAGCUUUGCUAGUCUUGAUACCCAUGGUAAUGGGAUUGCCGAGUCCUCGUGGCUCACAGAUUACUACAACAAUAGUUGCAGGUACAGGUAAUGCAAUGAUCUGAUGCGAGUGUGAUGCUUGCUUGCUUUUGGAGUUCUACUUCUUCUUUGAUCAAGGGAUAGGUUCUGGGUCGGGAGAACCUGGGAUUAGCAGGGUGGAUGUCAUUCUUCUUUUUCGUUUGAUUUCAUCCGUAGUCGGAUCCUGCUCUUCUGUAUGGUGAUUGCUAUGUAUUGAUGAACUAUUGUAUUGAAUGUUGUAACUUGUGGCGAGUGUAAGCCUUUAUCUUGUAUCCUCUUCUAUUCAGUACAUGAUAUGUUGUAAU
rnacentral:lncRNA from 1 species